rnacentral:rRNA from 1 species
AUUGAACGCUGGCGGCAGGCCUAACACAUGCAAGUCGAACGAGUGGCGGACGGGUGAGUAAUGUCUGGGAAACUGCCUGAUGGAGGGGGAUAACUACUGGAACAGGUAGCUAAUCCCGCAUACCAUCGGAUGUGCACAGAUUGGAUUAGCUAGUAGGUGGGGUAACGGCUCACCUAGGCGACGAUCGCUAGCUGGUCUGAGAGGAUGACCAGCCAAACUGGAACUUAGACACGGUCCAGACUCCUACGGGAGGCAGCAGUGGGGAAUAUUGCACAAUGGGCGCAAGCCUGAUCCAGCCAUGCCGCGUGUAUGAAGAAGGCCUUCGGGUUGUAAAGUACGUUCAGCGGGGAGGCGUUACCCGCAGAAGAAGCACCGGCUAACUCCGUGCCAGCCGCCGCGGUAAUAC